AUUGAACGCUGGCGGCAGGCUUAACACAUGCAAGUCGAACGAGUGGCGGACGGGUGAGUCAUGCUUGGGAAUCUCGCUUAUGGAGGGGGAUAACUACGGGAAACUGUAGCUAAUACCGCGUACCAUAGGCUGAGCCCAAGUGGCAUUAGGUAGUUGGUGAGGUAAAGGCUGACCAAGCCGACGAUCCCUAGCUGGUCUGAGAGGAUGACCGGCCACACUGGGACUGAGACACGGUCCAGACUCCUACGGGAGGCAGCAGUGGGGAAUAUUGCGCAAUGGGCGAAAGCCUGAUGGAGCCAUGCCGCGUGUAUGAAGAAGGCCUUAGGGUUGUAAAGCACUGUCAGCGGGGAGGCGGUACCCGCAGAAGAAGCACCGGCUAACUCCGUGCCAGCAGCCGCGGUAAUUC
rnacentral:rRNA from 1 species